GGGGUUCUCCUCCAGGUACUCCUCUUCGGUUUCUUUCUCCUCAGGCUCCUCAUCAGGGUCCUGAAAUGUUGUCCCACAACCGGGAUGAGACUAUGUCUCAGUAAGUUCUACCUCACUAAGACUCGAUUAGGAAACCGAUACACUAACCGGGCUACCUAUGCAUGCACAGGUCAGAGGACUUACCUUGGCCUCAGAUUCCACCUGCAUAUUAGCACAGUUCAAUAGACACCCAAGCAAUUAUAUCACAAAUCGAUAUCUCGAUCAAUCAACUUAGUUGAUUACAUGUAAAUAAGACCAUUCUCUGGUCGUUUCCCUUAUUCAGUCUCAAAUCUUACUCACGACUUCACGAGCACAGCCUACCAAAUUUCUUGGCAACAAAUUACAGUCUGAAGGACACGACCUAUCUUUAAGUGGCAAAUUACAGCCCAAUGGGCGCGACCUUUAAUAGGUGGCAGAUUACGGCCUUCUCAAGUGCGACCCCUAUCGAGUGGCAAAUUACGGCCUUAUUAGUCGCGACCUUUACUAGGUGGCAAUUUACGGCCCAACGGGCAUGACUGACUCCAAAUUCGGUGGCAAAUCUCGGCCCAACUGGCAUAGCCAUACUUCAGCGACUUCCGAGGUUCAACUCACAACCUCUCACAGUCAAAUUCUAAUUGAAUACCGACACUGAUUAAUCUUGGGAUAGAUCCCCACAUACUCAUCAACUCACUCAAUUUUCACACAAUAUUAACAUACCUGAUGGAUCUUAGCCAAGAAUAUAUUCAAAUCACUCUCCCAAACUUCUCCACUUAACAACCCAUCAAAGCAUUAUUGACGCUAAACAAUCAUACUCGGCCAUCCACAACUCAAUUACUCAAUCUCAAUUAAUUUAGGAAAAAUUCCUCAAAUUGCAUAAUCAAUUCAAUUCAACACAAUGUAGAGCUCAAAUAAAUAAAUGGACUGCACCACGACAACCAGCACGAAAUUCUGGUCACCGGCCAUCCCAGUUGAAUUUGCGGAAAAAUAAAUAAUUAAAUAAUGAAUUUUUGAAAUUCAUUAUUAAUUAGCAAUAAAUCCAAUUUAGGCCUGUAAUGCCUGAUUGGAGCCCGAAACGGAUUGGGAAAAAUCCCGAGAUGCAUUCAAUAAAUAAUAGUACGUCUCUACUUGCUAAUGACUAGGUCUAACCACCUAACAUGUAUCAUUAAGUCACUAAUUUAAUUGUUCUAAACUAAUCUAACCACCUAAUUACACUUAAUUAAAUCUAAUCAACCCUUAAGCAUCAUUAGUCUACUAAGAAAGGAUUAAUGAGAUUACUCACUUGAUUAAAAGCGGGGACCGGGACACCGCGACGGCGACACGACGGCGGCCGAAAUCCGAACUUUCGACGGCGUCGAUGGACACUCGGGCCGGACCUACAAGCCACACAAGCCCACAGAAAUUUCUGGGCUUGGGCUUGGCUUCGCGGGCUUCUAAUUUUGUUGGGCUUCGCUGAGAUGGGCUG
rnacentral:lncRNA from 1 species